AACUUAAAGGAAUUGACGGGGCCCGCACAAGCAGCGGAGCAUGUGGUUUAAUUCGAAGCAACGCGAAGAACCUUACCAAGACUUGACAUCCCCUGACAGCUGUUGAAAGGCAGUGUCUCUUCGGAGCAGGGAGACAGGUGGUGCAUGGUUGUCGUCAGCUCGUGUCGUGAGAUGUUGGGUUAAGUCCCGCAACGAGCGCAACCCUUAUCCUUAGUUACCAGCACGUAAAGGUGGGGACUCUAGGGAGACCGCCGGGGACGACUCGGAGGAAGGUGGGGACGACGUCAAAUCAUCAUGCCCCUUAUGUCUUGGGCUACACACGUGCUACAACGGCCGGUACAAAGGGUUGCGAAGCCGUGAGGUGGAGCGAAUCUCAAAAAGCCGGCCUCAGUUCGGAUUGGAGGCUGCAACUCGCCUCCAUGAAGUCGGAAUCGCUAGUAACCGCAGAUCAGCUACGUUGCGGUGAAUACGUUCCCGGGCCUU
rnacentral:rRNA from 1 species